AGGAAAAUGGUCAGAUAAUGAGAAUGAAUGUGAGAAAGGACCAGUCAUGAAUUUUUCUUCUUGGUUUUGGCAGAUUAAUUCACUUGCAUGAAAGAUUUUUUUUUUCAAAACAGUUCAAAUUGAAGGCCAUUCAUCGAGUCAUUGAAAAAAAAAAAAACCAAAGAUUCUAUGAUGUAAAGUCAUCCUGGCUUUGUUUCCCCCCUCUCCCCCUCAAGGCCUCUCUGACACAUUUGCAUGCAGGGAGUUUUCCAUGGAGUUGAUAAGACCUGGGAUAAAGGCUGAGUCCUGAGAAAAUGCUGCAGUUCAAGCAGGUCAAAUUGUGGCUCCUCCUCACUGUCUAGUGUGGCCUAGAUCUGUUUGUCCUGACAAGGUAAGAGAACGGUGUUUAUUUUGAUUAUACAUCAAUUAUGGUGCCAAGCUUCCUGCUCUCUAGAAGGAAACCAACCAUUUUUAGAACAGGUGCUGUCAGAAUUCUUCUUCCCCGUUCAUUAUCUACACUGGCAGGU